CCAAGAGAUCGACGUGGUCGACUUCCUUCCAGGCACUCUACUAUAUCACAUGAGGAUGAUUCGACAUCCUUGAGACCGGCGGAGCCUGUCGGUCUUGAUGUGGCGGCACCAUUGUCUGAGCCAUCGACACCUCGUCCAGAUGUGGAUACCUUAGCUCGGGAUGACACGCAGGGUGAGUUUCCCACCAUGAUCAACAGCGUUGCAUCGACAUCCACGGCUAGGUCAGGUCGUGGUGUCACGAAGAACACGGCACUAAAGAAGCACCUGCAGAGGACGGGGCAGCACAUUAGGAUCGACAUUCCUCCAGCUUCACCACCCCGCAUGAUGAUUGGUGUCCAGCGUGGAUGCAAAAGCUUGGCAUUAUAUGCCGACAGUAUACUCCAGUCACCGCCUUCAACUAGCCGCAGGUGACUGAGGCGCAACGCAUGGUUCUUUACAUGUGCAUCUUGGAGGAGUUCGAUAUGGACAUUCUCCACAUGAACCAUGUGAAGAGGGGCAGUGGAUGUCCAAAUUUGCAAUAAAUUUAAGUCCUAUCGUGUCAAAAUGCACGAACAUUUUCGUGCAAUGGGAGAUGAAGCAGAAACCCACCCAUACGAUAAGAUAUCCCAAGAGGAUUGGGAGGUGGCUAUAUGUGUUAAAAAUGCUGCGAACCGCAGCAAACUCCCUACGACUCAUUGCGGUGGGUCGAAGUUAUUCGUAAAUCAUCAAUGGCAUGAUCCCGCGACUGGCACCGAGGAGCUACUGCCAGAUCUUUAUCAGAGAACGCACCAAAGGAUCGGGGGAAUGAUGCGACGGUGCAUAGAGCAAACAUUUAAGUUAAAUUAAAUAUGUAGUUUAUAAUUUGAUUCAAAACAUCGAAGUUGUAUUCUUAUUUCUUCUUUUUUAUCAUUUUCAUGACUGAAAAUAGGCGUGGAUGGUCGAGCUAAGAGAUGCACCUGUUGAGGAGGGGAGCCAGCAAAUGACGAAUUACCAGAUAACCGCUCUGGUGCUUGGGGAACGAGUAGGGAGCUGGGUGAAGAGGCUUGGAAGUGGAUACAUCACCCCAACAACAUCGUCUUCAAUAGGUGCGGUGGCUUGUGCUGAGAUAGAAUGAGUGCGUCGAGAGGUCGAGGCUUGGGUGGACGAGAUGGUUCAGCGGGUGCAUACGGUAGAGCUAGAGAACCAGGAAUUGAGACACAGGAUGUCUAACAUCAUAGUGGAGAACCAGAGUUUGAAAGAAAAGGUAUCCACCGUUGAAGCCACGCUCGCAACAGUUCUAACAGGUAGGCGCAGUUUAAAGAAAUGAUGCGCAAAUGUCGAUUAGAUGAUGUAGGUGGCUCCUCUCAUUAGAAGGGUUUACAACUGUCACACCAUCAACACCAUCCUAUGCUACAAAAGGAUGCAACUUUUGACUUUUUUUUUUUGUUAUCUAAACAUAUGGGAUUCAUGUAUAAAACAUUCGGAAUUUGUAUAGUGUGG